GGAAGAAUGAAAAUACACAAAGUCUGUAUUCUAACACAUACACAGAAUUUGGGUCUGCAUUUCAGCCACCCCAGAGUUAAAUAGAAGACAUGUUCAGGAUCUGAUUGCCAAAAGAGCAAUAAUCCCCAAUCCAUCAGAUCAAGGCUGGAAGAAAAAUGGAGGGGAAUAGCACCUGCAAGACAGCUCAAAGAGCGUGGCUGCAUUCUUGAUACAGAGAAGAUAUGUCCCACUGUUUUCCAGUCCUGUAAAGACCUUUAGAAGAUUCUGGCUGAAAGCUUUGCUUGUUAUCAUAAAAGGAAUAUUUAAAAAUAUACUUUUAUCAUUGUGUCACAUCUGCAUGUUCUUUAACAUCUAGAAAUCAACACCCACAAAGUUUUGAUGCAAACC
rnacentral:lncRNA from 1 species